rnacentral:rRNA from 1 species
AACGAACGCUGGCGGCGUGCCUAACACAUGCAAGUCGUGCGAGAAAGUUCCUUCGGGAGCGAGUAAAGCGGCGCACGGGUGAGUAACACGUAGGUAACCUGCCCCCCAGUCUGGAACAACUAGAGGAAACUCUAGCUAAUGCCGGAUGAGACCACGAUCCCUUCGGGGGUUGCGGCCAAAGAUGGCCUCUACUUGUAAGCUAUCGCUGAGGGAUGGGCCUGCGGGCCAUUAGCUUGUUGGUGAGGUAACGGCUCACCAAGGCUGUGAUGGCUAGCUGGUCUGAGAGGAUGACCAGCCACACUGGGACUGAGACACGGCCCAGACUCCUACGGGAGCAGCAGUGGGGAAUAUUGCGCAAUGGGCGAAAGCCUGACGCAGCGACGCCGCGUGGGUGAU